rnacentral:rRNA from 1 species
GAUGAACGCUGGCGGCGUGCUUAACACAUGCAAGUCGAACGAAGCACUUUACCUGAUUUCCUUCGGGGAUGAUUGUUCUGUGACUGAGUGGCGGACGGGUGAGUAACGCGUGGAUAACCUGCCUCACACAGGGGGAUAACAGUUGGAAACGACUGCUAAUACCGCAUAAGCGCACAGCACCGCAUGGUGCAGUGUGAAAAACUCCGGUGGUGUGAGAUGGAUCCGCGUCUGAUUAGCUUGUUGGCGGGGCAACGGCCCACCAAGGCGACGAUCAGUAGCCGGCCUGAGAGGGCGACCGGCCACAUUGGGACUGAGACACGGCCCAGACUCCUACGGGAGGCAGCAGUGGGGAAUAUUGCACAAUGGGGGAAACCCUGAUGCAGCGACGCCGCGUGAGCGAUGAAGUAUUUCGGUAUGUAAAGCUCUAUCAGCAGGGAAGAUAAUGACGGUAC